rnacentral:rRNA from 1 species
CUGAGAUGGUCCCCGUCCUUAACCAGUACAAGGUCGGUAGAUAAGAGUUUAGACUUCUCUAAUGAGAACCCGUAUCUCCAAACAUACAACUACUGUGUCCCAUGUACUAGUCUCCACCAGUACCGGUCUCCAUAUCACGGUCUCAUAAUCCCGUCCUUUCUCAGGUCCGACCACUCCACUUCUUGGUUAGGUUAGAAAGUUCUUCUCCUCGUCAGACGUACAAUGAGGUCCUUAAACUUACGGUAGUUCGGUACGUUCUUUAAGCUCGAAGAAUAGUAGAACUGUUCCUCGUAUAUACAAUCAAUCCCAGGUUGUACUCGGUGUAGACCAGCUAACUUUCGUUGACUCUCCCGUAUAAGUAAGACUUUCUCGUGAAGAGGUCUUUUAACUCUACUCCGGGUCUGUCAAUCAUUAGGAGGACUACCAUUUAUUCGUUUUGUUAGUUUAGACCGAUCCGUCUAAAAGACUACUUCCUUUACAGAUAUUAAAGAAAGAACUAAAGGACUUUUGUCUGGUAUCUUGUUGGUGAGAGUAGUUAGAAUAAGACCUAUACGUCGGUAAAUAGACCUCUUAACUACGGAGAAUACAAGGUCAAUUCAUGAAAGGUUCGAACGAACCAGUGACACUUGUUUAUCUCCCUCACCCCACGUGUUCCCAUGUAUCGUUACUGGACUCUCCCUGGUCCGGUUCCGUUGUUGUAUAUGUUUGACGUCUAAUAGUAGUAUCAGUGUAUCUGGAAAUUGACUUGUAUUUCGGUAUUCUCAGACGUAAUGUAUUUGUAAGUCUUUGACCUUGACCUUCCGAUUCAUUAUUCGGUAUCCUAUUGUUUCCUUCGACUGAUCUCGACGUCAAGGAGAAAGGAAGUGACGGAAUGAAGAAGAACCCCAAGAAGAACCAGAACCGUAGUAGUCCUUGGAAGAACCUACAAAAGACGAAGAAGACGUGACCUCCGAACGAGAGGUGGUAGGGUUUAAAUAGUAUCUCCGAGAACUGGUGGAAGAACAAUUCACCUCCUCAUAGACGUCGUGUACGUUCUGUUAGAAACAGUUCCGUACAGAAUGGGAACAUCGGGAACCGGUCAACGAACUCAGAUCGUGAGGAUGAUUGAAGACUCUGGUGAUCCCCUCAAAAGACAACGGAAGAGGACUACACGUGGUGUCUUCAUGAUUUUACGAGGUGAACGUGUUGUACUCUCCUAGAUUCACGGACACCCCCACCUUAUUGGGAACCAUCGUAAGACAGGUCGGUUUUUGUCUCUCGUGUGACCGCCCCGAAGACUACCCGUCUGAACUCCCUGGUCUUUUUGACUUUUCUGUCAGGUAAACUUAACGGAAGGACCUAAUUGACGGUUUCGAAGCUAACUUCUUAUAAAAAAUGGGAGUGUUUUAGGAGUCUACUGUCGUUAAAUCGAUACUUUUUCAGUCGGGUUCUAUGACCUUGUCUGUCUGACCGUCAAACCAUUUCGUCCUGUUUUCACAAAGACGGUCCGUCGAGAAGGAAGGACUCUCUUCUGUCGUCAUUCGACCUCUAACAGACGUCAAACUUGGAGAAACAGGACCCAGACUUGUUGUAAGAAGAGGUUUAGUCGAACUUGUCCUAACGGAUAUCGUCUCCUCUCUCACCGUCCACAACAGUAACGUUAGACUCCACAAAGUCAUCGACGUGUUACUCUCUUCUGUCCCCCAUCUGACAUCUUAUCCAAGACUGAGUUCAUCGUGGAGUACGAAACGUAGACGUUUUCAUUUUCAGGGGAGGUGACGUCGUGUUCCGUUUAUCAGGUUGAAAGAGACCACUCUCCUAUCACGUCAGUCUCCGUCUCGUAGUAUUAGGUGAACGACAAGUUCAUGGUGGUAUGGUUCUACCUACAAGUAUUAUUAUAACGGUCGAACGACCUGACCUUGUAGUUGAUCGAAAAGUAAACCUUGAGGGUACGAGUGGACCUUACGUAACUGCCUUAGUGAUCUUCACAAGAGAACUCAGGACUCAGUCUUGACUUCCAGUGUCAGUCUAGUGAUUACCGGUAGAGGUGGUGUCCUUGUAAUUCUAGGUCUAGUAACCGGACGUGAAGUACUUCUUAACCAACUUAUCCUCCUACUAAUACUUAGUGUCCUAAUUCGUAGAGAAGGUCAAAGACCUUAAGGAGGACUAACUCGAGUACUCGGGGACGAUAUUCUAGUGACUAGAGGUCCUUAAGAGGACCAUGUACGACGGCACCCAAAACUAAAUUCAGUUAUUGACCAGGGUUCUAUACUAAUUGUAAGACUGGAGGUUAUAAUUGGACUAGGACGUCUAAUCCCAGUCUUAAUACGACAUUUACGACUAGUACGACGAGGAGCACGGGUUACAGUCGUCCGACUUAGGGGACCGACUAGUAGGGUAAGACCGGUUUUGACGAGGAGUACGGGUUACAGUCGUCCGACUUAGGGACGACUAGUAGGGAGGCCGGGUCUACCAAAUGGCCACGAAAAAAGUCUCGAACGACCUUGUGGUAGUUUAGUCUACAGUACCACCACUAAUUGGAGAAGAGGUUGGACGUUUACCGAUUGAAAGUAACCGAGUUAAACGGUCUGUAACAAAACUAGGGGUUCUUUCUCAGACUCGGCACAUGAUGGAAGGUAGUUGCACAGAUUUCCGUAGUUCUUCUCAGACUCGUUGUUCUACUUCCGAAAGGAAACCCCGACAUGGAUUUCCUAAAUACCACCUUUUACGUUCGAAUUAACCCUCGUACAAACAGCAGGUCGGCUAGACCCUCCCGAACCUCAAGAGGUGGAGCCGUUCAAGAGGACGCGGGACGCGGAGACGACCAACACCGAACAAACCUGUAGGGCCUCCGGAACCCAACCAGAGCUAGAGGUAACGAUGGUGAGGAGACCAACACCAAACACACCUAAACUUGGAUCAAAGUACAAUAAGAAAUACGCUUGUGUAAAAAAGUAUAAGAGACCUUUUCUCUACGCCUUAUUGUAGUGAGAGUCAGAACGUCUUAAAAGUCUCACUAGAAAUAUUUUG